GGGAAGACCAAGGCUGAGAGCCGCAGGCCUGAGCCCCCACCUUCCCAGGAGGGGUCCUGCAGCUGCAGAACCUCUCAUCAGCUUUGGAGCCUCUUCCCAGCAUGGACACAUGCACUCGGAGGCCAGCGGGGACAGGGGCGGACACUCUCUGGGCAGACACAGUGGCAGCAGCCUCCGCACUGAGUCCUAUGAACGGCUGCAGUCAAGCCAUCCCCUCAGAAGACAUCCCUGCCUCCUCCAGGCCCCUCUGAGCCCCCUCCUGCAUCCCCGGCCCCUGCAAAGUCUGGUUCUGGGUUUGCUCACCCAUGCUGGGGUGACACUGAAUGCCUCCCUUCUCAUGGUAAGACUCCAUGGAAGCAGGGCCCCCGCAGCCCCAGGUUCAUGUGCCCACCAUGUUGCCCAGGGAAGGAAAACCAGAUCUGGGGACAGAUAACAGGGAAGCCAGGGCACCAGGGCCCCUCUCGUCCUCUUGCCAAACUCCAUCCUCAGGAAGAAGAAAGGGCUAGAGCUUAAAACGGUGUGAGCAUGUGAUCAUCCAUCCAACUGAGCACUUAAGACUUGUGCCCUUACCCUAAACUACUGCUCAACAGAAACUAGGUGCAAGCAGAGGCCAGCAGCCUGCACACCGGGCAGGGAAGACAGGGGCAGCAUCCAGGGCUCUGUGACCGUCCUCUGCCAAUCCCCCCAGGGACACACAAAGCUGGCGGGUGGGUAGGGGCAGCCUCCCCCAGCACCGGCCUCGUGUGUCUCCUGAAUCACAGCUGAUAACCUGGGAGGUGGGUGCAACAACCCCAAGCUCUGUGGGCCAUACUACACCUGUCGAGUGGGUAACUGCUUGGGGCAGGGGGAGAGUGAGUUCUAGAAGGCAGUGGAGGGCACCAAACUGCUGACCCAGGAGUGUAAUGGGGAAGAGGAUGUUGGGCCCCCGAGUCCUCCCUCCCCCGGCCUCCCCCCUACCCAUCACCACCUUCUGCUUCUUCCUCCUUCCUCUCCCAAGAGCAGCCCCAGGCCUCUUUCCAUGUAGAAUGACACCAGACGAACCUAAAACAGUCUCUGGGGGCUCUUGCCCCUGCGCUGACAGGGGGUUGGUGGGGGUGGGAUGAACCUGCAAACCAUCCAUUCAGAAACUUCUAAAAUUGGCUUGGGAGGGGGCACAUUUGGCCUCGAGCUUGAAUAUCUGAGUGUCUGACACUCUGGGAAUAACCCCAACUCAGGAAGGUCAGACGCUUCUUCAAACACAUGCACACACACCCCUGUAACCACCUUGACCGCUCCACUCCCCCCACCCCACCGCUGCCGCCCAGCUCAUCUGUCCGUCACACAGCAGCCUUCCCACAGGCAUUUCCAGAAGCUGGUAGAAUGUGUGUGUUUCAAAGGGCCACCUCAGGCCAGCCCAGAGCUCGUGGCACCUUGCCGUGGGUGAGGGCGAGCUAUAGACAUGGCCACGCCUGUUCUGACACAGCAGGUGAGUGUUACACGCGCCGCCCGUCCGCAGAGGUGAAGCCAAAUGUGUUGCCUCAACUUGCCUGCAUCUCGUGUGUUCUUUUUAAUUUCUUUCCGGUUUUCUGUGCCUCCCUGAGAGCCAGAGAGGUCUGGCCAUUUCCAUUUUCUGAGUCACUUAGUAUAUUACAAAAUGAAGAGAGUCCAAAAGAGGAUUAAAGAAAAUUAGACAUUUAGCAAUUCGAGGCUUUUGACAUGCAACACACGCACAUGUACAUGCGCACACACACACGCGGCAAGAAAUUGAACUGUUCCUCAGUUAUGAGGUUUAUAAAAAUAUUAACUCACAGUGUGGGCUGGUGGUGGGACCCAGGUGCAGAGCAAUGGGAAAGAUACCUUCUCUCCUUCCCAGCAGGGGAUGUCCCAUAAACUGUGACUUUAAGAACCAACUCACUUAGCUCAAGCCCUGCUUCAGGUGAACCCCACUUCUCUCCCUCUCCCUCUGUUUCUCUGCUCCUCACUCACUUGUGCACUCUCUUUCUCAAAAAAAAAAAAAGAAGAAGAAGAAGAAGAA